CAGUUGCCCAGCCGGCAGAUCGACACGUGACAAGCUUGCCGUCUCUUCCUGCUUGCGGCGGCGGCGGCGGCGGCGGCGGCGGCGGAUGAGCCCUAGACACCGGCGGCGGGCGUCGAUCUGCAGCCACGGGUGAAAUCGAGGAGGGGAGUAGGCAACGCUCCGGCGACGCUUAGCGGACGAGCCGGCGGUUCACCUGGAGCAUGACACCAGAAGAUAGCGAGAGCUUGAUGAUGGCACCAAGGUCAGCAAACGCAGCAGACGAGAAGCCUGUCCACGUGAGAGGGCAACCACCAAAGAAGACAAAGGCGAGCUGCCCAAACACGGGGAUCCACAUGGCGAUGACCAUGGACCCCAUGACACCCGCGAGGCCGAGCUGGAGCCUGACGGCCAGGAGCCAGGACAGGACGAGGUGGAGGCCGAGGUUGAGCACGGCGAGGUAGGUGAUGAUCAUGUUCUUGCUCUGCGCCUGCAGGUACAUCUGCAGCGUGAAUGCCCAGACGUAGGAGAACAUGACGGGGAUGUACCACAGCGAGAUGGUCCCCGCCACCGCCGAGAUCUCCGGGUCCUGGCCCAGCGCCACUAGCAGUGGCUCCGUGAAGAGGUAGACUGGAAGAAGGACGACGGAGCAGGCGAAGAGGAUGAUCCAGGACCGCUGCAGGUAGAUCCCCAGCAUGUGGUACUGCUUCGCGCCGUAGGAUUGCCCACAUAGUGUCUCCAGCGCACUUGCCAUGCCCAGCUGCAAUGCAGUUCGUCGUCAUCAUGGUAAUGUCGUCACGGUUUCUUUUUGGUCGACGGUGACACACAGAGACAGAAAGAAAGAAAAAAGAGGGAGAAGCGUUUGUGCCGGUCAAGAGUUGAAGUCUAACAAUGGACCUGCUGGAGGUUUGUCCAUCACACUUCCAUUUUCUACCAUGACUUUGGUGUGCGCCGGACACUGACUUGGCAAUCGACGACGGGGACUGGUUGGAAUGGGAGUCGUCAGUCAAUCGUCGUCGAUGCCUGCCUCGCCAUUUCCUUCACCCGACGUGCCAAGAAGAAGAAGAAGAAGAAGAAGAACAACAGAGCAAAUGGAACACGAACCUGUUGCGAUCGAUACGAGCUGGUGGCAAAUUUGAUUCGAGAAGUGAUUGUAACUGUUUGUGGCCUGUGGGUUAUCUCACGUGGAAGAGCAUGAGCCGAGCCCCACUGAAUCUGUUAUAUGUAGUGCUUGUUUUUCUAGGUUGUUCGGUACGAGUUGGUGGCAAAAUUUAUUCGAAUUUGUUAACUGUGGGUCGAGAAUACGGAUCCAUCUUUGAAUUGAAUGCUGCUCACGGGCCUGGACCACGACGAUGCAGCUGGAUAUGGACUUAACCUCAGUGAAAGGCUACGGCUCAUGCAUGUAAACUAAUCUAUAAGUAAGAUUGUAUAUAUUAGUUUGCAGGGCCUUUUCUUGU